rnacentral:lncRNA from 1 species
UGGUGACGGCUUAGGCAUGCACCACCCCAGCUAGUAGCAGACCAAUCAGGGCAAAUCACGUUUCAAUGUAUUCGUCUGAGGGUGGACUAUUGGUUGAAAUAAGUGUCAAUCACAUUUGUGACCCAAAAUCACAUUUGAUUGGACACCUCUGAACACCAACGUGAUCCAGCGCUCACGCUCCAUUGGUACAAAAAACUGUCACUCAAGAAAAUAGUUGUUUAUGGACCAAUAAAAAACAAAGAAUCUAGAAGAGGGCAGCCUUAGCUUUAAAUUCACGUACAACUUUACGUGAAAACAUUACGCUAGGAGCUUGAGAAUAUUACGUUCCGGUUGCGCUGAAAAUAAACGCGUUUAAAUGUGUUUAAGGAGGAGCAAGUGAAUAAAGGACUUUAUGGAUAUUUUAUCUGCGGUUCAGUGCUGUAUUGUGGAUCCUGUAAUAUGAGAAAAUGUCUCCUUCUCAGUCAGACAGACGUGAUGGUCGUCUCUGUCUCGGGCAAAGUACUUGGGCAGCCUUUAUAAACUGUCCUACAUCCCUUACACACCUCAGACUUUACCGGAGCAUCUGCAGGCUGGACUGAAGAUCUGCUCACAGAUUAAUAAUGAUGGUGCAGUUUGCUGUCCUGCUGUUGUGUGUGCUCGGGCUGUCUGCAGGCUUUCCUCUGGCCCCGCCUCCCUCACCUGCUGCUCCAGGAAAUACCCUCCUGAUCCCAGUCACAAUUAUGAGCUCCUACGGGCCACAGGUGGUUCUGAUACCAGUGAAUACGGCCCAGUGGAACAUGCAGAGGAACACCAUCCCAACCCCUCCAUCAGCACAAACAUACACACUCACACAGCCCCAGCAUCAGGUAAAGAAUGAGAACGCAGCGCAGGCUGAGAAUGUGAACAGUCCGUUUCUACAGCCAGACACACCGACCGACCCAGCACUGGACACACACACACUCCCUCUCCCACCUGAGGCUGCACUGCCACAGGGACAGGUGUUUCCGAUGUGGAAUUCUAUCCCCAUAGUCCCACUGCAGCCUUCACUGACUGGUCAGACUGUUUUCCCCUCUUUGUUGACCCCUGCUGGAGGAGUCGGUGGACAGACACAGGUGGUGUCAAUAAUUCGACCAGGACUGCUGUCUAACUCAGAAAGCUCAGAGGAGGGAGAUGCAAAUCAGGUGAUCUACCUGCUGCCAGUCAGUGCUGAGAUUCCCAACAUGGGAAUAGCGGAGGGCGGACAGGGGGGUCUUGACAUCAACGCUGACCCUAAUGCUAACCCUGACCCCAACCUGGGUUACCUUCAGAACCCCACCCCCUCUCCCACACCCCUGGCUGGACUGCAGGAGACCCCCGCCCCCCUCGGCAAAGCACCCCCUACUGUCAGUGCCACUGAGAGACCGUCUGCCGGAGUGCAGCAGAAUUCAGCACGGGGCAGCGCAGGCGGCAGGGCAGGGGCUGGUGGGGAUGUGCCAGAGGGUACUGCUAACCCCUGCCCUCAGAAGGGCAAGAGAUCUAGCUUACGGGCUAAAGGCCCUUCGCUGUGA